GCGAUAGUAGUUAAGUGGUUAUAAUACACGGUUGUGGUCCGUGUGUCCGGAGUUCGAUUCUCCGCUAUCGCA
rnacentral:tRNA from 1 species